AAUCUUCCGCAAUGGACGAAAGUCUGACGGAGCAACGCCGCGUGAGUGAUGAAGGUUNNNGGAUCNUCAAACUCUGUUGUUAGNGAANAACAAGUAUCGGAGUAACUGCCGGUACCUUGACGGUACCUAACCAGAAAGCCACGGCUAACUACGUGCCAGCAGCCGCGGUAAUACGUAGGUGGCAAGCGUUGUCCGGAAUUAUUGGGCGUAAAGCGCGCGCAGGCGGUCUUUUAAGUCUGAUGUGAAAGCCCCCGGCUCAACCGGGGAGGGUCAUUGGAAACUGGGAGACUUGAGUGCAGAAGAGAAGAGUGGAAUUCCACGUGUAGCGGUGAAAUGCGUAGAGAUGUGGAGGAACACCAGUGGCGAAGGCGACUCUUUGAUCUGUAACUGACGCUGAGGCGCGAAAGCGUGGGGAGCAAACAG
rnacentral:rRNA from 1 species